AAUUUUACUUUCCUUAAUUUGUUUUUCAUUUCAAUCCAGGUCCCUCUGGUGGAGGACACGUGGCGAGAAGUGCUAGCGGGUGAGUUAGAGAAGGCGUAUUCCAAGAAUCUGUGUAAAUUUGUGUGGAAAGUGAGAGACUAGCCAGCUAUAUAUCCACCACAUCAUUUGAUGAUUUUAAUGCCUUGAAUUCAACUCAGUUUUUUACUCUUAAGGCUAUUAUUAGAGGACAGGAUCCUUAUCGCGGUCUUGGUCAAGCUAUGAAGCUGCUGCAUCUGUUGCCCAGAGAGAUGCGAAUGCGGAGUAGAAGGCUUUCCUUUCCUGCUCCUCGAGGGGUUAAGGCACCUUGCAGUCUUGUUAAUACAUAUAUUCAAGCAGGAUUUGGGGUGUUCGAUUCCGUUUCAUGGGAAUCUGGAGAAACGGGCUGUUCAGUUUGCUCGUACCAUAACUAAUCUCACGGCUCACUGAACAUCCUGCAAACCCAAUAAGCAUAUAAAACACCGCGAGGGUGACAGACGUGCACAUGUAAGUUCGAACCCGGAUGCAGAGGAAAGAAACAAGUCCCUUCCACCGCUAGGCCAAUACCUAAAGUACAACUUAAUCGUAUUUUUUGUUUCAGGGUGUUCUAUUGCUCAAGACUGUUCUUGAUGGUAAGAUUCUUCAUCGUGCCAAUUUAUUUCACAGGGAGCUUGUAAUUGCUUCAUGCUGAUUCUUU